UACGAAGGGGGCUAGCGUUGCUCGGAAUCACUGGGCGUAAAGCGCACGUAGGCGGCUUUUUAAGUCAGGGGUGAAAUCCUGGAGCUCAACUCCAGAACUGCCUUUGAUACUGAGAAGCUUGAGUCCGGGAGAGGUGAGUGGAACUGCGAGUGUAGCAGUGAAAUGCGUAGAUAUCAAGUGGAACACCAGUGGCGAAGGCGAGUCUCUGGACAUUUCCUGACGCUGAGGCACGAAAGCCAGGGGAGCAAACGGG
rnacentral:rRNA from 1 species